rnacentral:snRNA from 1 species
GUCUUUUGCUCAAAUGUUACCCA